GAUGAACGCUGGCGGCGUGCCUAACACAUGCAAGUCGAACGGAGUCCAGCCUUUAAGACCUUCGGGUCAAAGAGGGGAAGACUGAGUGGCGGACGGGUGAGUAACACGUGGGCAACCUGGCUCAUAGAGGGGGAUAACAGAGAGAAAUUUCUGCUAAUACCGCAUAAGCACACACUGCCGCAUGGCAGAGGGUGAAAAGAGAAUCGCUAUGAGAUGGACCCGCGUCUGAUUAGCCAGUUGGCAGGGUAAGAGCCUACCAAAGCGACGAUCAGUAGCCGAUCUGAGAGGAUGAACGGCCACAUUGGGACUGAGACACGGCCCAAACUCCUACGGGAGGCAGCAGUGGGGGAUAUUGCACAAUGGGGGGAACCCUGAUGCAGCGACGCCGCGUGAGUGAAGAAGUAGUUCGGUAUGUAAAGCUCUAUAAGCAGGGAAGAUAAUGACAGUACCUGAAGAAGAAGCCCCGGCUAACUACGUG
rnacentral:rRNA from 1 species